UGCUUCUAUUUAUUUAUACGUGUGUGUGUGUGUGUGUGUGUAUGUGUACACACACAUACAUAGACAUAUAUUUUAAACAUAUUUUC
rnacentral:miRNA from 12 species